rnacentral:lncRNA from 1 species
GAGGAAGGCGAGGUCUCGCUCGGGCAGAGAGAGCAGCCAGGCUCGCUGCCCGUCCGAGCGCUGUGCCCAGGGCACCCCUGCCCCGUGUCCCCCUCGCACUCAGCUGCAGCACUUCCCACCUCACUGGCAAGGACACAGCACCCCUGCAGACUCGUAGUUGCCGUGCUGGGCUCUCGUAGCAGGCUGCCGGGUGACACAGCUGUGCUCGGAAGAGCUCUGUGCAGAGGAGCCGUGCUCCGGCAGCCGCUCACGGUGCGCCACACGAGGCGGCUCCGUGAAGGGACGGCGGGCCCGGCCCAGCCCGGCCCAGCCCGGCAGGAGCACCGCGCCCGCCCGGGGCAGGCCCCGCAGGGCUGCUCUGCGCUCCCUCGGAGCUCUGCCCGCAAAGGCAGCGCCCCAGCCCUGCUAUUCACGGGAAAAACCCGCCUAGGUGGGCUCUGGUUCGGGGGAACGCCCGCCUGCUGGCACCCUCCCGCAGGGGUGUCCCAACGCCAGCUCACCCUUGGCCUUCAGAAAGGCUCAGAAAUGGCCGGUUUGGGCUGUGCAAUAGAUGAAUUGUGUCCAAAGCAAGAUGUGACCUGGCCUGGCAGAGCAGCAGCUGUGGGGACACUGAUGUGGCUUUCAGCAUGCCAGGACCAGGUGAGGAAGGACCUUGCAGACUUGCACGUCCCACUGCGUUCAAGCUGUUAUUUGAGCACUCAGAAGAAAAUGCAUUCAAGUUCAGCAUCAAUCUUAAACCUCCUGCUGAGCCUCAGGCAAUGGGAUAAGCCAAGUAAAGCAUAGGGAUAAUUAAAAUGCAUAAAGGUCUGAAUGUCUCAACUUUGAGAAGAAUUAAAGGGGAGAAAUGAAAAUCGAGAAAAAAUAUAAGUUUGCUUCUUAAAUUUACUGUUUACCUCUUACUUUACCAUUUAAAUAGAGAAGCCACUGAGAGAAAGCCAAUAUGGGAUCAAAUUUAGACAUGAAACCCAUUCAGAUGUACAGAAGGAAAAUGAUCGGAAGUGUGUCAGCAAAGCAAAAUCAGCACACAAAAAUCUUCUUGUUAAUUUUUAAAUCCACUGAAAUAUUUUUUUUUACCUCCUUAAGUUGUACAGCCAUAUUCAGAAGAGAUUCAUGCUCUUUUGUACCUCAUUGAAGAAUAAAACAUAUCAAAGUCAGAAAUCA